rnacentral:lncRNA from 1 species
CGCGACCUUGGCUCACUGCAACCUCCGCCUCCCGAGUUCAAGCGAUUCUCCUGCCUCAGCCUCCUGAGUAGCUGGGACCACAGGCGACUGCCACCACACCCAGCUAAUUUUUUGUAUUUUUAGUAGAGACAGGGUUUCACCAUGUUGGCCAGGCUGGUCUCGAACUCCUGACCUCAAGCGAUCCACCCACCUCGGCCUCCCAAAGUGCUGGGAUUACAGGCGUGAGCCACCACGCCCAACUGGGACCAGGGUUUUCUGUUUUUUGAUGGAGGUGAAAUCUCUUUGUAAUCCACUAGGUUUUCAUCGUAAAACCAUCUUAUGCCUGACUAUUAAACCUAUUCUUCAUAAACACAAGAACACUUUAAUUUUUCGUUAAUUUACAAAGUAACAUCAGCUGCCUAUGCCUAUGAUAAGGUAGCAGUCUGCAUUCUUAUGGCCAUUAGAUGUUACAAACUCCUUGCCUCUAAAGUCAGAUCAUGAAGGGAUAGGUGUUCAUCUAAGGUUACAGUUAUGUUACCGAAACACAAAACUGCCAAAAUCUUACUCUGCUGUUAUGAAUGUUUACCAUCAGCAUUAUUUUAUCAUUUAAUAUGUGCUCACUGAUUGUUAACUGUAGCUUCAGCGCGUGCCAAGCAGUUGACUUAAUAGGAUCAUCUUGUGAAUUUGUUUACGUGAUGCCAAGCAUCAAGUCAUGUUUUCUUUAGUGUGUGUGCUUACACAGGUGUUAAACAGUUUUUCUCUAUUUUAAACUGAGCCUUCUUUUUAAUAUAUUCCCGAAGAGAUAUGUAAAUAAGCUCUCAGAGUUUCUGUGAUGAUUUGUUGAGCCUUGCUGGACAAGUGGUUUGUUUGUGUGCAAACCAAACUUUCUUUACCCAGUGCAAUAGAUUUGUUUGACUGCUUGUGUCUUUUUAUGACCUGUUUGCCUUUUAGAAAAUUGGUAAAUAAAGCAAGUAUAUUUUUAUUUUUACUUGUAUGUAUUUUUCACAUAGCACAAAGGAAAACCUGAAUAGAGAGCAAAGAUUAUUUAAAAAAAAUUUUUUUAAAGAACUCCAGGAA